UAUGUGAUCGUCUCUCGCAUAUCAAUAAGCGGAGGAAAAGAAACUAACAAGGAUUCCCCUAGUAACGGCGAGUGAAGCGGGAAGAGCUCAAAUUUGAAAUCUUAAAGGGUUUCCCUUUACGAAUUGUAGUUUAAAGAAGUGUUUUCUGUUGAGGUUUUGGUAAAAGUUCUUUGGAAUAGGACAUCAUAGAGGGUGAGAAUCCCGUAUUUGACCUUUACUUUCAACUUUGUGAUACACUUUCAAAGAGUCGGAUUGUUUGGGAAUGCAGUCCAAAAUGGGUGGUAAAUUUCAUCUAAAGCUAAAUAUUGGCGAGAGACCGAUAGCGAACAAGUACCGUGAGGGAAAGAUGAAAAGAACUUUGAAAAGAGAGUUAAACAGUACGUGAAAUUGUCAAAAGGGAAGCGUUUGACACCAGUGUUGUUUUUCUGAAAAUCAAUUAAAGAACUGUUUAUGCUAAGUUGUUUAGACUUUAUCAGCUAUCUGUUUAGUUUUGAGCUUUUCUUUAACGCACUUUUCAGUUAACAAGUCAACAUCAAUUUCUUUUGCUGUAAAAAAGCUUGAGGAAGGUGGCUUGAGAUUCGUCUUAAGUGUUUAUAGCCUCUUGCCUAUGCAGUCGGAGAGAUUGAGGUCUGCAGCGUAGAUCCUUCGGGGCUAAAUGCAUUUGUGCUAAGUUAUAGCAUUUUAUAGACAACUUGUUGACUAUGAUUUGUCUUGUAGCUUACUCGCUUAUGUUAUUUUACCUACGCUUAGGAUGUUGAGUAGCGACAUACGCAC
rnacentral:rRNA from 1 species